rnacentral:rRNA from 1 species
AACGAACGCUGGCGGCGUGCUUAACACAUGCAAGUCGAACGUGAAAGUCCUUCGGGAUGAGUAAAGUGGCGCACGGGUGAGUAAUACAUAGGAACGUACCUACGGGUGGGGAAUAACGACGGGAAACUGUCGCUAAUACCGCAUAACAUCGAGAGAUUAAAGGGGGCGCGCGCAAGCAGCUCUCGCCUGUAGAUCGGCCUAUGUCCCAUUAGCUAGUUGGUGAGGUAAAGGCUUACCAAGGCGACGAUGGGUAGCUGGUCUGAGAGGAUGAUCAGCCACACUGGAACUGAGACACGGUCCAGACUCCUACGGGAGGCAGCAGUGGGGAAUCUUGCACAAUGGGCGAAAGCCUGAUGCAGCAACGCCGCGUGGGUGAAGAAGGUUCUUGGAUUGUAAAGCCCUUUCGGCUAGAAAGAAGGGUCUCGUAAUUAAUACCAACGAGAUCUGACGGUACUAGAAGAAGAAGCACCGGCUAACUCCGUGCCAGCAGCCGCAGUAA